GACGAGGGGUCCUAGCGUUGUUCGGAAUUACUGGGCGUAAAGCGUAUGUAGGCGGCUUUUCAAGUCAGGUGUGAAAUCCCAUGGCUUAACCAUGGAACUGCAUUUGAAACUGUAAAGCCUGAGUAUUGGAGAGGAUGGUAGAAUUCCUGGUGUAGUGGUGAAAUACGUAGAUAUCAGGAGGAAUACCGGAGGCGAAGGCAGCUCGCUGGGACGUUACUGACGCUGAGACGCGAAAGCGUGGGGAGCAAACAGG
rnacentral:rRNA from 1 species